rnacentral:rRNA from 1 species
UACAGAGGGGGCAAGCGUUGUUCGGAAUUACUGGGCGUAAAGGGCGCGUAGGCGGCCUGCUAAGUCGAACGUGAAAUCCCCCGGCUUAACCUGGGAACUGCGUCUGAUACUGGGAGGCUUGAGUAUGGGAGAGGGAUGUAGAAUUCCAGGUGUAGCGGUGAAAUGCGUAGAUAUCUGGAGGAAUACCGGUGGCGAAGGCGGCAUCCUGGACCAUAACUGACGCUGAGGCGCGAAAGCUAGGGGAGCAAACGGG